rnacentral:tRNA from 1 species
GCCCCUGUGGCCAAGUAGGUAAGGCAGCGGACUUUUAAUCCGACGAUCGUGGGUUCGAGUCCCACCGGGGGCA